UGAGAUGGCCGUACUGUCCUGCGAACGCCCGAUCCCAUCCAAUUUCGGAAACUAAGCAGGGCCGGGCCUGUUUAAUACUUGGCUCACCCAGGGUGGUCUUAGUGUUUCUCAA
rnacentral:rRNA from 12 species